UGGAGCCACAGAGAAUCAGGGUUACUUACUUUAUGUGAUAUGGAGCCACAGAGAAUCAGGUUACUUACUUUAUGUGAUAUGGAGCCACAGAGAAUCAGGUUUACUUACUUUAUGUGAUACAGAGCAACAGAGAAUCAGGGUUACUUACUUCAUGUGAUACAGAGCCACAGAGAAUCAGGGUUACUUACUUUAUGUGAUAUGGAGCCACAGAUAAUCAGGGUUACUUACUUUAUGUGAUACAGAGCCACAGAGAAUCAGGGUUACUUACUUCAUGUGAUACAGAUAAUCAGGGUUACUUACUUUAUGUGACACAGAGCCACAGAGAAUCAGGGUUACUUACUUUAUGUGAUACAGAGAAUCAGGGUUACUUUAUGUGAUAUGGAGCCACAGAGAAUCAGGUUACUUACUUCAUGUGAUACAGAUAAUCAGGGUUACUUACUUUAUGUGAUAUGGAGCCACAGAGAAUCAGGGUUACUUACUUUAUGUGACACAGAGCCACAGAGAAUCAGGGUUACUUACUUUAUGUGAUAUGAAGCCACAGAUAAUCAGGGUUACUUACUUUAUGUGAUAUGAAGCCACAGAUAAUCAGGGUUACUUACUUUAUGUGAUACAGAGCCACAGAUAAUCAGGGUUACUUACUUUAUGUGAUAUGGAGCCACAGAGAAUCAGGGUUACUUACUUUAUGUGAUAUGAAGCCACAGAUAAUCAGGGUUACUUACUUUAUGUGAUACAGAGCCACAGAGAAUCAGGGUUACUUACUUUAUGUGAUACAGAGCCACAGAGAAUCAGGGUUACUUACUUUAUGUGAUACAGAGCCACAGAGAAUCAGGGUUACUUACUUUAUGUGAUACAGAUAAUCAGGGUUACUUACUUUAUGUGAUACAGAGCCACAGAGAAUCAGGGUUACUUACUUUAUGUGAUACAGAGCCACAGAGAAUCAGGGUUACUUACUUUAUGUGAUACAGAGCCACAGAUAAUCAGGGUUACUUACUUUAUGUGAUAUGAAGCCACAGAUAAUCAGGGUUACUUACUUUAUGUGAUAUGGAGCCACAGAGAAUCAGGGUUACUUACUUUAUGGUAUACAGAGCCACAGAGAAUCAGGGUUACUUACUUUAUGUGAUAUGGAGCCACAGAGAAUCAGGGUUACUUACUUUGUGAUAUGGAGCCACAGAUAAUCAGGGUUACUUACUUUAUGUGAUACAGAGCCACAAAGAAUCAGGGUUACUUACUUUAUGUGAUACAGAGCCACAGAGAAUCAGGGUUACUUACUUUAUGUGAUAUGGAGCCCCAGAGAAUCAGGGUUACUUACUUUAUGUGAUACAGAGCCACAGAGAAUCAGGGUUACUUACUUUAUGUGACACAGAGCCACAGAUAAUCAGGGUUACUUACUUUAUGUGAUAUGGAGCCACAGAGAAUCAGGGUUACUUACUUUAUGUGAUAUGGAGCCACAGAGAAUCAGGGUUACUUACUUUAUGUGAUAUGGAGCCACAGAGAAUCAGGGUUACUUACUUUAUGUGAUACAGAGCCACAGAUAAUCAGGGUUACUUACUUUAUGUGAUAUGGAGCCACAGAGAAUCAGGGUUACUUACUUUAUGGUAUACAGAGUCACAGAUAAUCAGGGUUACUUAGUUUAUGUGAUACAGAGCCACAGAGAAUCAGGGUUACUUACUUUAUGUGAUACAGAGCCACAGAGAAUCAGGGUUACUUACUUUAUGUGAUAUGAAGCCAUAGAGAAUCAGGGUUACUUACUUUAUGUGAUAUGGAGCCACAGAGAA